GAUGAACGCUAGCUACAGGCUUAACACAUGCAAGUCGAGGGGCAGCAUGGUCUUAGCUUGCUAAGGCCGAUGGCGACCGGCGCACGGGUGAGUAACACGUAUCCAACCUGCCGUCUACUCUUGGACAGCCUUCUGAAAGGAAGAUUAAUACAAGAUGGCAUCAUGAGUCCGCAUGUUCACAUGAUUAAAGGUAUUCCGGUAGACGAUGGGGAUGCGUUCCAUUAGAUAGUAGGCGGGGUAACGGCCCACCUAGUCUUCGAUGGAUAGGGGUUCUGAGAGGAAGGUCCCCCACAUUGGAACUGAGACACGGUCCAAACUCCUACUGGAGGCAGCAGUGAGGAAUAUUGGUCAAUGGGCGAGAGCCUGAACCAGCCAAGUAGCGUGAAGGAUGACUGCCCUAUGGGUUGUAAUCUUCUUUUAUAAAGGAAUAAAGUCGGGUAUGGAUACCCGUUUGCAUGUACUUUAUGAAUAAGGAUCGGCUAACUCCGUG
rnacentral:rRNA from 1 species